UGCCUGACACUAUAUAGAACACCUGUACAAGGAUGAGAAAUCAGACACUUCCCAGAGAACAGCUCUUUGCCCCCACCCCUCUCCUCUCCAGUCUUGAGACAAAGAGGGGGGUGGGAGGAACUUGAAAAAGAAAUGUUAACUCAUUACAGUCCUAGAUAUACAAAAAAUAUAGAAUAAAAUUCACACAUCUUUA